CGUAUAUUGAGCAUUUUGAUAGUUUAACAGUAUAAAAGCUGCUGCAUUCAAUCACUUUAGGCUCAACAAGGUCCGAUGAUCGGGGGGACACGCUGGCCCUGCGGAUGAUCCUCUUGUUUCCUGACACUGGCUCUUCUGUACGUCAAAGGCUAACAACAAUAAAACAGAUGUCAUAGCGCA